UACGAAGGGGGCUAGCGUUGCUCGGAAUCACUGGGCGUAAAGGGUGCGUAGGCGGGUCUUUAAGUCAGGGGUGAAAUCCUGGAGCUCAACUCCAGAACUGCCUUUGAUACUGAGGAUCUUGAGUUCGGGAGAGGUGAGUGGAACUGCGAGUGUAGAGGUGAAAUUCGUAGAUAUUCGCAAGAACACCAGUGGCGAAGGCGGCUCACUGGCCCGAUACUGACGCUGAGGCACGGAAAAGCGUGGGGGAGCCAACAGGAU
rnacentral:rRNA from 1 species